rnacentral:rRNA from 1 species
UACGUAGGGUGCAAGCGUUGUCCGGAAUUAUUGGGCGUAAAGAGCUCGUAGGCGGUCUGUCGCGUCGGAUGUGAAAUCCCAGGGCUCAACCCUGGGCCUGCAUUCGAUACGGGCAGACUAGAGUUCGGUAGGGGAGACUGGAAUUCCUGGUGUAGCGGUGAAAUGCGCAGAUAUCAGGAGGAACACCGGUGGCGAAGGCGGGUCUCUGGGCCGAAACUGACGCUGAGGAGCGAAAGCGUGGGGAGCGAACAGGA